UACGAAGGGGGCUAGCGUUGUUCGGAAUUACUGGGCGUAAAGCGCACGUAGGCGGAUAUUUAAGUCAGGGGUGAAAUCCCAGAGCUCAACUCUGGAACUGCCUUUGAUACUGGCGGUCUCGAGUCCGGGAGAGGUGAGUGGAACUGCGAGUGUAGAGGUGAAAUUCGUAGAUAUUCGCAAGAACACCAGUGGCGAAGGCGGCUCACUGGCCCGGUACUGACGCUGAGGUGCGAAAGCGUGGGGAGCAAACAGG
rnacentral:rRNA from 1 species